UGAGACUCAGCCCGCUCUCCGCCCGCCGCACUCAUUCAUCCUGCCUGUCCUCCAUUAUUUACGCGUUGUUAAGGAGCGCUCGGGCUUUCAGGAUUCGGCGGUCUGUGAUUUACAGAAAUCCUGGUGAUCUCCCGUGACAAGAUCUUUCAUUCUGUGGCCUGCUGAGCACAUGAAUAUAUGACCCUGUGAAAUGUAGCUGAAACACUGAGGUUUUGGACACCUCAGAGAUUAUGUGUGACCAAAGCAUUUAUUUUGAGGAACACCAAACUCAGCCAGAGGGUGCCUUCAAUUCUCAGCCUGUGGCCAUAGCUAUGACAACGGGAAAAUAUGCAUAAUACUGGAAGCUACCCUGCUGGGAUAGGCACUCCAAGGACAAUUUCUCUUUGUGACGAAAUUGGGCAGUGCUGUGAAAUUACAUCAGAUGUAGCCUUGCUUAUUUUUUCCUAUUGUUGUCAACACAACAUAUGCAAACUCUUUUGAGCUACCAACUCUCAUCUCUUACAUCAAGGAAACUGAAUCAUCUACCUUGGCCUAAAAAAAAUUAACAGAGUUUGUAUAAAUAUAUUUUGAUAAUGUCCUUGAGAUUCCCGAAGACACAAAGAAGCAGGAACAGGGCACUGGACAACUGUUCAGGCCAAAAGCAGCAGAGAAUACUGAAAAGUUUGACAGUGAGUGCUUCCCUUUGAGGUAAGAUAUAAUUUUAUUUUUAUAACAAAAAGAAGAAAAAAAAAAUCAGAAGAAUUUAACCAAACUUGACAGAACAGUGAUUUCUGACUGUUCUGAUAUCCAGACAGGAUUUCUGACAAGCUGGUUGCAAAUCUGGUCAAAGGUAUUUAAGCUUUCACAAUGUUUGGUGACAUAUUAACAAUAUUUGACUUUACACCUACAUGACAACUGCUGAAGUAAUAAGUAUGAACUGCUACUAGCUCAUUAAAGGUUUCUGUGUCUGAUACAAGCAAUAGAUAAUCUCUUGGGGCUGGGGGAGGGAGGGGCAUUUCAGAAAGAAAAGCAUAUCAUGAAAGAAAAUGGACAGAAGAAUUACAGCUAAAGAAAAUUCUGAAAAUUGUAAAAUACAAAUGCCUUCCAUACAGAAGUGGAACCACUAGUAGAUUAUGCUUACCUUGUCUGGAAACAGAAUGCAUCAAUUACUUACUAUAUGUAAUGGCUCUCUGAUCCAUUGAACACAAUCACUCAAUAAUGUCCUAACUUUUCCACUAUGACACAAAAAUGUUGUCCAAGUUCAAAAUUUCACAAAAGACCAGUAAACUGCCUGUCCCAAUUUUACAAAAAUAGUGCAGUAA